rnacentral:rRNA from 1 species
GACGAACGCUGGCGGCGUGCCUAAUACAUGCAAGUAGAACGCUGAAGGAGGAGCUUGCUUCUCUGGAUGAGUUGCGAACGGGUGAGUAACGCGUAGGUAACCUGCCUGGUAGCGGGGGAUAACUAUUGGAAACGAUAGCUAAUACCGCAUAAUAGUAGAUGUUGCAUGACAUUUACUUAAAAGGUGCAAUUGCAUCACUACCAGAUGGACCAGCGUUGUAUUAGCUAGUUGGUGGGGUAACGGCUCACCAAGGCGACGAUACAUAGCCGACCUGAGAGGGUGAUCGGCCACACUGGGACUGAGACACGGCCCAGACUCCUACGGGAGGCAGCAGUAGGGAAUCUUCGGCAAUGGACGAAAGUCUGACCGAGCAACGCCGCGUGAGUGAAGAAGGUUUUCGGAUCGUAAAGCUCUGUUGUAAGAGAAGAACGAGUGUGAGAGUGGAAAGUUCACACUGUGACGGUAUCUUACCAGAAAGGGACGGCUAACUACGUG